GCGGCGGGAGCCGGGAGCGGGGGUGGUGUUUUGGAGUGCUGCUUGCGGCGGCGUGUUCCCUUUUUUGGAGCCGCUCUUGGAGAGAGAGAGCACUAGGAUGAACAUUUUCUGUGACUAGAGACAGCACAGGGCAGGGAAUGAAGAUUCCUUCUCACAGCAAAAGAUCAGCUGGGAGCUGCUCUGCUGUCAUAAUGCUGUGCCAGUAUUGUGGAGAGCAGGCAGAAGUGGUUGAUCCCAUUAAAACUGGUAUGAGUGGAAGAAGAAGAGACAGAUUCAUGAGCACCUUGACAAAGCAUGCCCCUGAAGCUUGCACUCUUCUAAUCAUAUCCAGCACCAUCCCAUCAGAUAUGGGUAAAAUGUUUAAAUCCAGUUGAUCCCUAAUGGUUGGUAAGGGGUUUUUGGUCUCCUCAUCCAUCUGCCUGCUCUAAAUUUUGCCCUGAACAAUGUAUUUGCUGUGCAAGUCAUUCCACAGCACAGCAGGGCCAUGGACCAUGGGCUCAAAUCCAGCCUGGAGAGGAUGAGGUCUGCUGCUUGAACCUGAGGUUUAUGCCCAAGUGAUUCUGUCAGCAGGCGAUUUGGUGUGGGGGGUGAAGGAGUAGGAGAAUUUAUACCUUUAGAGCCCCUUGUUCAACCUGUAGUACAUAUCAUUAACAUUAACUUCUCUUCUUCCAAGACACAUCAAAUGUCAAGAUAAUCGCUGUGAGCCUGUGAACUGCAGCACUGAAAAUAAUUAUCAAAGCCACUCUCCAUUUAAACCAGAAGAGCUGUUGCUCUUCUGUAAUGAAAAGAUCUCAUGCUUUGCCCUAUCACAGCAGGGAUCCAGGCUGUAUUAAGUCAUUCUUACUGGCCUUAAAGGCUUUAGUGAUGUUUCUUUCAUUUGAGUGUUAUCUUUCUGCCAAUUUAGAAUCCCAUCUCCUCCCUAUAAAGCAAACCUGUAGUUAUCCAAGCAGUAGUGGAGGAUGGUAGGUGGCAAGGAAAACAUAGAUAGCACAGGAGCAUUCUUUGCAGCAUUUAGAAAUAAUGAGUGCAAUUUCCUAGGUCUUAGGACUUUUUAUCCCAUAAUUUCAGGAAGAGGAGAAGUGAACCUCAGUCAGACAGGAGCCCUAACCAUAUAGCUGUAAUACCACAUUGUAGGUAGCAAUAAGCUACCUACACUGCACUGCUGCAGCUCCAACAGGCACCAAAAUUAUAGUAAUGAUGCAAGAGCUUUGGGACUAUCAGGCAGCUUCCUCCCCCAGGAAGGACAGUGAGGACAUACAUUUUUUAAUGAAGCAGUGUAUUCCCUUUCUUCACUGAUUUGAAAGAAGCUUUAGAUUUACAUCUCCACUUGCAAAAGUAGGUGUUCAGCCUCCUCUCAAUUGCAUGCAGAUUACUCUCCUGGCAUACAAAGGGAAACCAGCAGUUUAAGAGCAAUGUGUUUAUAUUGUAUUUUAGUCCCAAAAAGUUCUUUUCAUAGUGACAGCUUCUAGUGUGAUCCCAUGUGCUGUGCUGCCAUGUGGGCAAAUGCUAAUUCCACCCACCAAAUGUGCAGGAAAUGAGAGUGAACGGGACAGGGGUCAGGAGCAGACUCCAAUCAAAGGUGUUGAGUACCACUGGCAGAUGGAGCACACUGAGCAAUUAAUAAAUCCUUUCUUAGGGUGGUACCAUGUUGGUGAUGAUGAGUUUGAUAAUUGCAACAGCUGUAUCACUGGUAUAUUGCAUGUCAUGCAUAAUACUGCUGUUAUCCCUAUGCUGGGAGAAACAGAGCUGUAAUAAAUGACAAGACUGACACAUGCAGUCCUUUGUUUUGUAAGGUAAUUACAGGUAAGGAGUUAGGCCACAUGUGUAGCAACAUGUUCCAAGGAUGACUCCUGUUAAUGGAUAAUUAAACUUUAAAACCACCAAGGACUGGGAGUUUUCCCUGACUGUCAGAGCUGAAGGAGGGUAAAGGCAAGGACAAAUCAGAGAGGUUCACAUUUGGCACAGGCAACAUGGACUUGUCUGGAAAGCAGUGGCUUUCCUCCCUGUCUCUCCCGUGCUGCAGGCUGUGUCUCCUUUUCCCUCUGCAUUUAGGUGAGGUUGCCAAGUGCAAGAGUGUGAGCCUGGGGCUGGCCAGGGAGCCCAGCUGAGAUGGUCCUUGGGGGAAACACUGAUUUCCUUCUCGCAGAGCGUGGCUGCAGCCUGGCUCUCAGUCUUGCCAUUGCACCCAUCCUGUUUCAUUAGAACCUGUUUAUAUUUUUCAUACUGUAUCUACUGCUAAUUACAGCCCAAUAAUACUAACUCAGUGUGCAAACAUGACCAUCAUCCAAAUAUUGUUUUGCAUAACCAGAAUUCUGGGGUUGCAAACAUUUGCAUAAUGUUUAAUUAUUUAGGCAGAACAUAAAAAUUGUCUUCCUCUCAAAAGCAUUUUUGUGAAAUGUCUCAAUAAUUAAACACCACUAUGUUUAUUAACAGCAGGGAAGAUUCAUGAAAUGUAUUAGUCAGAAAAAAGCAAGUAGCUGCAUCUACAGUAAUCAAAAUAUGCCAUUCCAGAGUAGGUCCCCAAUCAAGGCAACCACCAGCAUGAACUCCUAUGUGCAACCAAGCAGAAGACAAUUAAAAGUGUAACAGUUCAGCUGCUGUAACUUGGAGGGGUCAGGGAGUCAGAAUUCAAUGGCUUAAUUCACUCUUUAAUCAAUACAUAACAUUUUGAGAAGACUGGAUCAAUUAUAUUGAGCCAGCUGAAGUGAGCCUUUUGUCCAUGAAGGUAAAAUUUGGGGUCAGCUGGAGCCCUACACGUGGUGCUGCAGCCUGGGAAAGGCGUCUGCAGGCUCCUGCUCCAACAUGCUGCCCAUUGGAAGGCGCCUGGGCCCUCAAGCCAGGUGACAGGCACACAUUUCAGUGGCACCUGGAAUAGGGUUCCUCUAGUCUAACAGGCUGGAAGAAAGCAAAACAGGGUCUAGUGAAGUAGCCAGAGGCACAUAAUGAAAAAACAUCUGCCUUGAUGGCAUAGGGAAUGCUCCUGCAGCAUUUCUGCACCAGUGCUUGCUGAUAGGGAAGAGUGACCAGUUUGGAUCUCAGUCUCAGGACUCUUUGUACAAAAAUUCCCCUAAAAUGAAUGGUCGGAGUAGACUGAAGUUGACAAAUGCGUUGGGAUAUCCCAGCACAAGGCAAGAUGCAGAGGUUCUUUCAAGAAAGUAAAAUUUGGAGGCUGCAGAGGAAGAGACAGAUCCUGGCUGUCACCCACUGGACUCCAAUUUGAUCACAAUAGUCAAUUUUGCCCAAGUGUAAAAGCUCCAAAUUGUAUUAGGUUGUUUGAAAGGAAGGCAGAAUUCAGGACCAGAGAUUGUUUCUCAGUUAAAGGAACAAUUGCCCACUAAAUUAAGAGGAAAUAUGUCUUAUGUCCUGGAAACAAGCAUUCAUCUCUAAAGUAAAAUAUUUUUAUAAUUUGAAAUUAUGAGCUUGCAUAUGAGAGAAGCAUAAAAAUGGAAAGGUUAUUUUAUUUUAUUUGGGCAAGAUUGAGGUUUUUUAUCCUCUCUAUUAAAUUUAACUUUAUACUUCAGUUGUAUUUCAAUAACGUUAUGCAAGAAAUUAAGCUUGUGCCCUUCUGCCCUCUCUGAAACUCAUCUGCUACUUGCUAACAAGAACUCUACAUUACUCAAGCCAAUUUCUGCAACAUGCAUAUAGUUAAGAGGCUUCCUUUUUGUCCAUCAAUUCAAUAACAGCAGCCAAGGAAACCACCUCUCCUGCUCCAAUACCAUUUGUGUAAUUUGCAGGGCUCAGUCUGAGCAUUACUGUUUUGUGGCAUGGUGCCAGGGGUCCUGUCACCCAGGACGUGGUGAGGGGAUGGCUGACUUUGGCAGGUGAAUUUGGGAAGGUGUUUGUGCAAAAGGAUAAAGCAAUCAGGGAAAGCAGCACAAGUCUAUCUGCUGGAAUAACCACCCUCUGCUUUCACCACAUGAAAACCUGGGCCCACAUAAACAGGCUCUGACAGCAAACACUGCAUUCUUCCUCAGCCAAAGCAAAACCUUCCUUCCCAUCCUGCUUUAGGGCAGUAGGUCACAAAUCUAAAUCUGCCUCCCCAGUCUCUUUUCCGUAACCCCAAGGUAAAAUAAAAUAUAUUCUCACUUUAAUUGAGAAAGCUGGGGCAUGAAAAGGCAAUUCAAAGGCUCUCUGGUGAGCAGCUGACAGCACACCCACCAUUGGAAGUGCCCUGCACUCUGCUGCUGGACAAAGUUCAGCAGCUGGAUCUGAUGCUGCAGAAACACAAGGCACCCUUGGGUGGCAGGCAGCUUGCUCUGGGCUGCUUCAGCACACAUGGAAAAUAAACAGAAAAUCAUAGAGGAGGAAGCAGCAAGGAAACUGGGCAGUCAGAAUUCCCAGUUGAGGUGGAAAGGUUCCCUCUGUUAUCUCUAGCUCAACCUUCUUUACUUUGUGUGGCUUUUCUUCCGUCCAAGACUGUAGCAGCACCGUAGCCAGGCUGUGCCCAACACACUGCCAUGCUGCCCAAAAGCACAGGCAGCAUAUCAGGUGCUGGAGCACAUCCUGUGAGCACUGGAGCUGCAUUUACUGAAGAAGCUUUGCAGUGCCACAAGGUUGGGGGCCAGGGAGUGACUAGUGCCAUGACUUGUCUUACUUGGGACUCUCAUUGUUGUUGUUCAACAUAAAGGCAUAAGCCAACCUAGAGGCUUCAUUAAGCAAAAAGCAAUCCCUUCUGUGUACUUGAGGUGAGUGCUGCAGGAAGAGGCAGAGGAGUUAAAAGAAGGCAAGUCUUGUUUCAAGGAGUGGCUAGAUGGGGAAGAUGAUGUCUGUUUUGCCUGGACAGGCUCAGGACCUUAUUCUGCAGCCUUGUCUGCAGGCAGCCUGCCCAUCAAAAUUAUCUCCGGUGCUGAGUGCAGAGGGGAUGAGCCAACAGCUUAUUAAAUAGGAGUCUGUUAUUUCUGCUGAGAAAGGUGGCUUUUAUUUUCCUGAAGGGUUAUUAACUGAAUUCUUCUCUUGUCCUAACUCUGGUUGUUUUCCUCUGCUUUUUCCAGACAGUUCUCCUUGGUUCUUCAGUGGAGGCAAUAACUUGGAGGUAUUUACUGGUAGUCUUGUUAAAUUUGGGGUGGAGGAAUAACAAAUACUUUGGAAAUAGGAUUUCUUUGGGAAACACAAUGACCAGAGCCUGACUUUGGGACACACUUGGCUCUGCAGUUCAGCAACUGCUCAUUUCAGAUGGAGUGUUGAAAUCUUCACAGCACCUUGGACUGCCACCUGCACAAACAGUCCCAUGACUGGAGUGGGACCCCAGAGAUGUGUAAAUGUUGGCCUCACCUCAGCGUGUUCUGGUACCAGCUGCUGGCUGGGGAGGGCAGCACAGAUUGUGGUGGGCAAGAGGAGGGUCUUGAAGGACUCCUCUGCUUCCUCACUGUCUCUGAUGGGGCCAUGGUUUUCUGCUGCUUGGCCCAAGAGCAGCAUAGGUGGCCUGUUUGCCUUGUCCCAGAGCUGCCAGCAUGGGUGACAAGUGCCAGUGUAGAAGCCACAUGCUGGCAAUUGUUGCAGGACCCAUUGGUUCAAAGGGUCAUUUUUUAGUAGACAGUGAACAGGGAAUUAUUUCUUUUUUCUUUUUUUAAUUAGAGGUUUCUCAGGAAGAACUGACUCUCAAAGGCAGGGUAAUAAUUUACAUGUCAAUUCUAAACUUGAGAAAACAAGACAUAUUUGAAAAAAAAGUGGAGACUACUGGUUACAAUGAGUUAAGAUAUCACACUACUUUUCUCAGCAACCUUGAAUCUGCUUCAAUGGAAUUAUGAACCUGCAAAAUACAUCAUUUCAUACUUAUUUGCAUAGGUAAAUGAACAAAGCAAAAAGAAAUCAACAGUGAAAGUAUUCAGUGUGAUGGUGAGUGAGAUGGAAGGAAGGAAAAUUAUCUUCAAUCACUUUGCUUCAGUAAUAUUUAUAUGCUCUUAGCUGCAUUCCUAACAAUUCUUAAGAGAGAGAUUUGGGAUCCUGGAGAGGGAGAUAGGUCAGCAUUUCCCAGAAUGAUCUCCAUUUAAGUUGCCUUAAGUAAGCUACAGUGGUUUUCUUCUGGGAAUACAGCCAGUGUGCAUAGAGAGAAUCUGCAGCAAAGGUGCUGCAAGAUACUGCAAAGCAAGAAGGUCUGAACGGUCUGUAAAUACAUGUCCCAUCAGUCCCCAGUUUCAAAGUGAAACAUCAUGCACAGAAUUAUCUGGGAGUAAUAAUCCGUAAAAAAUCUAUAUGUGGUUUUUAUUUUGUGAAGUCAGACAAUAAAAGAUCCCACACUACAAAACCUCAGUGUUUUCUGUCACUUUUUGAGUAUCUUGGCAAACGUUGGGAGUAUGUAAGCCUGAGUGAGAGCUGUGCCCCACUGGAGCUGAAAUGCCUUCUCCUACAGGAGUUAAUCCCAGGCAGACCCAUUGUGCAGGAUCACACAGGGUUACCUUCCCCCUUGGGGUUUUUACAGACACACAGCACUGCCCAGUGUUCACACUGGGGCUUCUUUGGGCUCUGUAACAGUACAAAA